rnacentral:rRNA from 1 species
AGCUCAAAUUUAAAAUCUGGUGGUCUUUGGCCAUCCGAGUUGUAAUCUAGAGAAGUGUUACCCGCGUCGGACCGUGUACAAGUCUCCUGGAAUGGAGCGUCAUAGAGGGUGAGAAUCCCGUCUUUGACACGGACUACCGAGGCUUUGUGGUGCGCUCUCAACGAGUCGAGUUGUUUGGGAAUGCAGCUCAAAAUGGGUGGUAAAUUCCAUCUAAAGCUAAAUAUUGGCGAGAGACCGAUAGCGAACAAGUACCGUGAGGGAAAGAUGAAAAGAACUUUGGAAAGAGAGUUAAACAGUACGUGAAAUUGCUAAAAGGGAAACGCUUGAAGUCAGUCGCGUUGGCCGGAAAUCAGCCUUGCUUUUGCUGGGUGUACUUUCUGGUUGACGGGCCAGCAUCAGUUUUGACCGGUGGAAAAAGUUCGAGGGAAUGUGGCAUCUUCGGAUGUGUUAUAGCCCUUGGUCGUAUACAUCGGUUGGGACUGAGGAACUCAGCACGCCGAAAGGCCGGGUCUUUGACCACGUUCGUGCUUAGGAUGCUGGCAUAAUGGCUUUAAUCGACCCGUCUUGAAACACGGACCAAGGAGUCUAACAUGCCUGCGAGUGUUUGGGUGGAAAACCCGGACGCGUAAUGAAAGUGAAAGUCGAGAUCCCUGUCAUGGGGAGCAUCGACGCCCGGACCAGANGUUUUCUGACGGCCCUGCGGUAGAGCAUGUAUGUUGGGACCCGAAAGAUGGUGAACUAUGCCUGAAUAGGGUGAAGCCAGAGGAAACUCUGGUGGAGGCUCGUAGCGAUUCUGACGUGCAAAUCGAUCGUCAAAUUUGGGUAUAGGGGCGAAAGACUAAUCGAACCAUCUA